CAGACAUUGCUGGACGGCUGCAGCAUCUGUACACACUUCACACUGCUUGUGUUUUCUUCCCAUGUAAGUACCUUGUCCUUUCAUGUUUCCCACCUCGACUCCCAAACUAUUGCCUUACAUGCCAUUUCCUAUACUCUGUACAUCUCUAAACUGUGAUUUAUAUUAUUUUCAUUUUUUAGCUUCUGAUCCCUCUACUGACCUCUCUGGCUACUCUUUGUCAUUACAGGUAUGUCUCUAGCCUCAUAUAUAAAAUAUUGGUUCAGCUUUCUUUUUUGCGAUCCUUCUUGCGUUUUUUUUUGCCUGCGGCAUCGUUGAUAUUAUCCUGUCCUCUUAUUUAUUUAUAUUUUGGACAGGUAAAAAUAUAAAUACAACCAAUAAACUUUUUACGCUGUGACACUUCGGGCCAAAGGUCUUGCUACGCUGUGAUUGAUAUUAGAUGCCAGUCCUCACUCCUCUCUUCACCAUCUGAGGUUUGCCAUGCGUCCCGACCGCGAUGUCCUUUUAAGGGGUGUGCUGAGCCGUUGAAACUUCUUGGGUGAAAAGUUGUUUGUUACACUUUCUGACUCCACACAUACUUCGGUCCCUGAAGAAGGAAACCCGAAACGCGUUGGGCCCAGUAUUCAUAUUGUGGACUCUUCACUCUUUUCCUACUACACCCCAUUAAUGUGUUGUUUUUAAACCUUUGUAUUAUAUACGUUUACUAAAUAUUGUUUGAUACCGUUCUGUUACUAUUAAACUAUUAUAUAUUUUUGUAUCUA